GACGAACGCUGGCGGCGUGCCUAAUACAUGCAAGUCGAGCGAAUGGAUUAAGAGCUUGCUCUUAUGAAGUUAGCGGCGGACGGGUGAGUAACACGUGGGUAACCUGCCCCGAACUCUGGGAUAACUGCUGGAAACGGUAGCUAAUACCGGAUAUGACCAAUGAAGGCAUCUUCUGUUGGUGGAAAGAAUUUCGGUUCGGGAUGGACUCGCGGCCUAUCAGCUUGUUGGUGGGGUAACGGCUCACCAGGGCGACGACGGGUAGCCGGCCUGAGAGGGUUGUCGGCCACACUGGUACUGAGACACGGCCCAGACUCCUACGGGAGGCAGCAGUGGGGAAUAUUGCACAAUGGGCGCAAGCCUGAUGCAGCAACGCCGCGUGAGGGACGACGGCCUUCGGGUUGUAAACCUCUUUUAGUAGGGAAGAAGCGAAAGUGACGGUACCUGCAGAAAAAGCACCGGCUAACUACGUGCCAGCCGCCGCCGUAA
rnacentral:rRNA from 1 species